rnacentral:rRNA from 1 species
CGCGCCUUUCGGGGUGAGCGGCGGACGGGUUAGUAACGCGUGGGAAUAUACCCUUUGGUACGGAAUAGCCUCUGGAAACGGAGAGUAAUACCGUAUGAGCCCUUCGGGGGAAAGAUUUAUCGCCAAAGGAUUAGCCCGCGUUAGAUUAGGUAGUUGGUGGGGUAAUGGCCUACCAAGCCUACGAUCUAUAGCUGGUUUUAGAGGAUGAUCAGCAACACUGGGACUGAGACACGGCCCAGACUCCUACGGGAGGCAGCAGUGGGGAAUCUUGGACAAUGGGGGCAACCCUGAUCCAGCCAUGCCGCGUGAGUGAUGAAGGCCUUAGGGUCGUAAAGCUCUUUCGCCUGUGAAGAUAAUGACGGUAGCAGGUAAAGAAACCCCGGCUAACUCCGUGCCAGCAGCCGCGGUAAUACGGAGGGGGUUAGCGUUGUUCGGAAUUACUGGGCGUAAAGCGCACGUAGGCGGACUGGAAAGUAUGGGGUGAAAUCCCAGGGCUCAACCCUGGAACUGCCUCAUAAACUAUCAGUCUAGAGUUCGAGAGAGGUGAGUGGAAUUCCAAGUGUAGAGGUGAAAUUCGUAGAUAUUUGGAGGAACACCAGUGGCGAAGGCGGCUCACUGGCUCGAUACUGACGCUGAGGUGCGAAAGUGUGGGGAGCAAACAGGAUUAGAUACCCUGGUAGUCCACACCGUAAACGAUGAAUGCCAGUCGUCGGGUAGCAUGCUAUUCGGUGACACACCUAACGGAUUAAGCAUUCCGCCUGGGGAGUACGGUCGCAAGAUUAAAACUCAAGGAAUUGACGGGGGCCCGCACA